GAUGAACGCUAGCGGCAGGCUUAACACAUGCAAGUCGAGGGGCAGCACGGGUAGCAAUACCUGGUGGCGACCGGCGCAAGGGUGCGUAACGCGUGAGCAACAUGCCCUAUACAGGGGGAUAAUCCAGGGAAACUUGGUCUAAUAUCCCAUAGUAUUUAGAGGAGGCAUCUUCUAUAAAUUAAAGCUUCGGUGGUAUAGGAUUGGCUCGCGUGACAUUAGCUAGAUGGUGAGGUAACGGCUCACCAUGGCAAUGAUGUUUAGGGGUCCUGAGAGGGUGGUCCCCCACACUGGUACUGAGACACGGACCAGACUCCUACGGGAGGCAGCAGUGAGGAAUAUUGGUCAAUGGGCGGAAGCCUGAACCAGCCAUGCCGCGUGCAGGAUGACGGCCCUACGGGUUGUAAACUGCUUUUCCCCGGGGCGAAUAACCCCCUCGCGAGGGGGAUGCCGGUACCGGGGAAUAAGGAUCGGCUAACGUCCGUGCCAGCAGCCGCGGUAAACAUACUCG
rnacentral:rRNA from 1 species